UGCAGUCGAGCGAACGGACGAGAAGCUUGCUUCUCUGAUGUUAGCGGCGGACGGGUGAGUAACACGUGGAUAACCUACCUAUAAGACUGGGAUAACUUCGGGAAACCGGAGCUAAUACCGGAUAAUAUUUUGAACCGCAUGGUUCAAAAGUGAAAGACGGUCUUGCUGUCACUUAUAGAUGGAUCCGCGCUGCAUUAGCUAGUUGGUAAGGUAACGGCUUACCAAGGCAACGAUGCAUAGCCGACCUGAGAGGGUGAUCGGCCACACUGGAACUGAGACACGGUCCAGACUCCUACGGGAGGCAGCAGUAGGGAAUCUUCCGCAAUGGGCGAAAGCCUGACGGAGCAACGCCGCGUGAGUGAUGAAGGUCUUCGGAUCGUAAAACUCUGUUAUUAGGGAAGAACAUAUGUGUAAGUAACUGUGCACAUCUUGACGGUACCUAAUCAGAAAGCCACGGCUAACUACGUGCCAGCAGCCGCGGUAAUACGUAGGUGGCAAGCGUUAUCCGGAAUUAUUGGGCGUAAAGCGCGCGUAGGCGGUUUUUUAAGUCUGAUGUGAAAGCCCACGGCUCAACCGUGGAGGGUCAUUGGAAACUGGAAAACUUGAGUGCAGAAGAGGAAAGUGGAAUUCCAUGUGUAGCGGUGAAAUGCGCAGAGAUAUGGAGGAACACCAGUGGCGAAGGCGACUUUCUGGUCUGUAACUGACGCUGAUGUGCGAAAGCGUGGGGAUCAAACAGGAUUAGAUACCCUGGUAGUCCACGCCGUAAACGAUGAGUGCUAAGUGUUAGGGGGUUUCCGCCCCUUAGUGCUGCAGCUAACGCAUUAAGCACUCCGCCUGGGGAGUACGACCGUAAGGUUGAAACUCAAAGGAAUUGACGGGGACCCGCACAAGCGG
rnacentral:rRNA from 1 species